rnacentral:rRNA from 1 species
UAAUGCCACAACUCACCCUAAACCCUUUUCUACUACUAAGUAAUUUUAUACCCCUAUAAAAACUCUUAUGCUAAAACUAGUAACAAGAAAUUGAAUUUCUCCUAAAUACAAACAUAAGCCAAAAUGGACAAACCAUCGGCAAUUAACGUUCAUGAGCCCACUAUAACAACACUUAAACGAACAUUAUACUCCAACACGUUAACUUUACACAAAUGUAUUUCAGAAAAGAUUAACAAAAAGGGAAGGAACUCGGCAAAUUUUAGCCCCGCCUGUUUACCAAAAACAUCGCCUCUUGAUUGACAUAAGAGGUCUAGCCUGCCCAGUGAAAGACUUAAACGGCCGCGGUAUCCUGACCGUGCAAAGGUAGCAUAAUCAUUUGUUCUUUAAAUAAGGACCUGUAUCAACGGCAUCACGAGGGUUAUACUGUCUCCCCUCUUUAAUCAGUGAAACUGACUUCCCCGUGAAGAGGCGGGGAUAAAUAUACAAGACGAGAAGACCCCAUGGAGCUUUAAACCCAAUAAUACCUUUAUCGCCUUACUCCCACAAAAGUAUAAAAGCAUUAUAUAUUGGUUUUAGGUUGGGGUGACCACGGAGUACAAUAAAUCCUCCAUGACGUAGGGACUUCCCUCUUAUCCUUGAACCACAUUUCUAAGAAUCAACAAAUUGACGUUUGAUGAUCCAAUAUAUUGAUCAACGGACCAAGUUACCCUGGGGAUAACAGCGCAAUCCAUUUUACCUAUCGCCAAAUGGGUUUACGACCUCGAUGUUGGA